UACAGAGGGGGCAAGCGUUAUUCGGAAUUAUUGGGCGUAAAGGGCGCGUAGGCGGCUUCGCAAGUGACGGGUGAAAUCCCUCGGCUUAACCGAGGAACUGCCUGUCAAACUGCGUGGCUUGAGACCAGGAGAGGUGAGUGGAAUUCCCAGUGUAGCGGUGAAAUGCGUAGAUAUUGGGAGGAACACCAAUGGCGAAGGCAGCUCGCUGGGACGGUACUGACGCUGAGACGCGAAAGCGUGGGGAGCAAACAGG
rnacentral:rRNA from 1 species